UGGGGAAUAUUGCACAAUGGGGGAAACCCUGAUGCAGCGACGCCGCGUGAGCGAUGAAGUAUUUCGGUAUGUAAAGCUCUAUCAGCAGGGAAGAAAAUGACGGUACCUGACUAAGAAGCCCGGCUAACUACGUGCC
rnacentral:rRNA from 1 species